rnacentral:rRNA from 1 species
CCUACGGGUGGCAGCAGUGGGGAAUUUUGCGCAAUGCUCGUAAGAGUGACGCAGCGACGCCGCGUGAAUGACGAAGGCCUUCGGGUCGUAAAGUUCUUUCGACAGGGAAGAAAAUGCAUAUAAUUAACUGUGUAUGUAUUUACGGUACCUGUAUAAGCAGCCCCGGCUAACUCCGUGCCAGCCGCCGGUGGAAUACGGAGGGGGCGAGCGUUGUUCGGAGUGACUGGGCGUAAAGAGCACGGGGGCGAUGUUGUAAGUCAUUAGUCAAAGACUAGAGCUAAACUUUAGUAAGGCUAGUGAUACCAUAAUAAUAGAGUAUCAGAGAGGAUUGCAGAAUUCCUGGUGGAGCGGUGAAAUGCGUAGAUAUCAGGAGGAAUACCGUUAGCGAAGGCGGCAAUCUGGCUGGAAACUGACGCUGAGGUGCGAAAGCGUGGGUAGCAAACAGGAUUAGAUACCCUUGUAGUC